rnacentral:rRNA from 1 species
UACGUAGGAGACGAGCGUUUGUCCGGAGUUACGUGGGCGUAAAGCGUGCGUAGGCGGUUCGUUAAGUCUGUUGUGAAAGCCCCGGGCUACCAACCUGGGAAUGGCAAUGGAUACUGGCGAGCUAGAGUGUGUCAGAGGAUGGUGGAAUUCCCGGUGUAGCGGUGAAAUGCGUAGAGAUCGGGAGGAACAUCAGUGGCGAAAGUGGCUUCCUGGUCCAGCACCGACGUUCAGGCACGAAAGCGUGGGGAGCAAACAGG